GUGCUGAGAAUGCGAUGAAAACUCCUUCAUCAAAAGCUAAGCUCUACAGCAUUAAAAUUAUAUAACAUCAGUUUGUUCAGAUCUUUUGUCUCGAUAACACCUUAAUAUAUAUACUUAAAUCGGCGGGUCAGCUGCUUCUGUGAUUUUUCUUAAAUUCCAAUAUGAAUGUACGUUUUCUAAGCCGCAUGACUGGUGCCGCGACUCGCAUGGCCUCCAGCAUAAAGUGCCGCGUUAGCAAUCCCAGACAUAUUAUUCAGUGUCGCGAGAUGAGCAGGAAGAAGGAUGACAGUUAUAGAGAAAGAUGUACUGACGAUGGACAGUUCUUCAAAGGCUGCUUUAAGAAGGAACCGAAGAAAAAGUGUCCUGAGGUAAGGGACAAGGAUAGACAUGGCUGCAAGAAUCCAUGCAAGGACGGACCUUGUAGGCAAUCUAAAUAGAAUAUUGGAAAGAAUCGAGUCACAAAUGAUGCGAAUGGCCUGCUGAAAUACACUUGAAUAUAUCUAGUACAAAUUCUCAGUUCACAUAUGCAGUAUAAUGUGUUUAACUGCCUCAAUAGUAAAGUGCACAUUAAAUACAGCUGCCCAAUUAUAAUUAUUUUAUGCCAACAAAUUCGAGCUUCUAUCAAAAAUAUUUUCACACCAACAAAAGGUUUUCAUACCUUUAAAAUACUAGGAAAAUAUAAAUUGAAUUGCACAUUGGGACAUUUGCCCUUUUUAACUGUGAAAGGCGAGGCAGUUAAACACAUUAUACUGUAUAUGCAAAUUAUCAUCUAAAAUAAAUUUAUUACCACUCUCAUUGACAUGAUAA